GCUGAAGCUGGUCCCAAGGGUCGGGCUGUUCGCCCGUUAAAGCGGUACGAGAGUUGGGUUCAGAACGUCGUGAGACAGUUCGGUCCCUAUCUGUUGUGGGCGGAGGAGAUUUGAGAGGGUCUGUCUCUAGUACGAGAGGAUUGAGAUGGACGGACCUCUAGUGUGCCGGUUGUCACGCCAGUGGCAGUGCCGGGUAGCUAUGUCCGGUAUGGAUAACCGCUGAAAGCAUCUAAGCGGGAAGCCUGCCUCAAGAUAAGAUCUCCCGGAGGGUAACCUCCCUAAAGGCCACUUAAAGACUAUGAGUUUGAUAGGCUGGGUGUGGAAGGGCUGUGAGGCCUGAAGCUUACCAGUACUAAUCGGCCGUGAGGCUUAACAUU
rnacentral:rRNA from 1 species